rnacentral:rRNA from 1 species
GACAGAGGGUGCAAACGUUGUUCGGAAUUACUGGGCGUAAAGCGUGUGUAGGCGGCUCUGCAAGUCGGAUGUGAAAGCCCCGGGCUCAACCUGGGAAGUGCACUCGAAACUGCUGAGCUUGAGUAUCGGAGAGGUCGGUGGAAUUCUCGGUGGAGAGGUGAAAUUCGUAGAUAUCGAGGGGAACACCAGUGGCGAAGGCGGCCGACUGGACGAAUACUGACGCUGAGACACGAAAGCGUGGGGAGCAAACAGG